ACGAACGCUGGCGGCGUGCUUAACUCAUGCAAGUCGCACGGAAAGGCCCUGCUUUUGUGGGGUGCUCGAGUGGCGAACGGGUGAGUAACACGUGAGUAACCUGCCCUUGACUUUGGGAUAACUUCAGGAAACUGGGGCUAAUACCGGAUAGGAGCUCCUGCUGCAUGGUGGGGGUUGGAAAGUUUCGGCGGUUGGGGAUGGACUGGCGGCUUAUCAGCUUGUUGGUGGGGUAGUGGCUUACCAAGGCUUUGACGGGUAGCCGGCCUGAGAGGGUGACCGGCCACAUUGGGACUGAGAUACGGACCAGACUCCUACGGGAGGCAGCAGUGGGGAAUAUUGCACAAUGGGCGGAAGCCUGAUGCAGCAACGCCGCGUGCGGGAUGACGGCCUUCGGGUUGUAAACCGCUUUCGCCUGUGACGAAGCGUGAGUGACGGUAAUGGGUAAAGAAGCACCGGCUAACUACGUG
rnacentral:rRNA from 1 species